ACCAACCAUCCCCGGGGACAGAACGUCCAUCGUCAGAUGACAAUGAUGAUAAGAAAGUCCUUUACUUUGCUACCAAACUUUACAUACCUGAAUUUUCACCAUUUAUACUACAAAGAACACUCUCCGCACCUGGCUUGGACUCUGACGUUCCCAGUUGGGCUGCUGCCGUAUUCCUGUUGUCCUGCGCAAACCUUCCUCAUGCUUGGACUAACAUCUCACCCUUGACCACUGCUGAUCUUCCUUUCCCCACCAUGGACUGCCCCCUCACUCUGUUGGGCUCUGACAUUCUACCUGACACUUAUUUUUGCAAAUGGUAUAAAAUGGGCCUCUAGAUUUUUUUGCUGGUAAAUAAUAUCAGUACUGUUUAUUAUAUAGUCAUCCUUUUGUCAUUGAAUUAAAAAUUCAUCUUUGAUAUGCUA